AUGGUGCCGGCGAAGGGGUGGAGCCGGAGGGUCGGGAGCGCGCGGUCGUUCGUGGGGAACGCGCUGGGCGGCGUGCGCGGUUGGACCAACGUCGCCUCCUGGGCGGUCGCCGGGAGCCUCGCCUACUACCUCUGGGUCCGACCCGCGCGCCAGCUCCAGAAGGAGCAGCAGGUCGAUUUCCCCUUGCUAAUUCUUGUUACCGCUGUGAUUGUCUUCUAUUGGAUGGAUCGGUCUGGACAUAUCGCUUUCUCGGAUGAGAUCGCCGAACGAGCUGCUUUAGCUGCUGCCUCGGAUCCAUACCGUUAUGUCGAGAAACGGAGGCCAAUUCCUGACCCCCAGGACACUGGCCUAACUUACGGGAAGAAGAAGGAUCCUCCGAAGUCUGACAACUAG
rnacentral:rRNA from 1 species